GGAAAAUUUUGACAAUUCAUUUUGACGUUACUUUGAAAUUAAAAAAGAAGAGUUGAUGGGUACUAAACGCAAAUGCUGUUUUUAACUGAAAUGACCUACAUUUCCAUUUUCUAAAUUGUGCAGAUAAUGGAUAAACAUACAUGUGGAUGUAGAAAAAAUUAUUUACUGCAUGGAAGAAUAAAUGAAGAAACUGAAAAUUUACGUAAAUAUUAUCCUGAAAGUGAUUCGUCCGGGGAAAUGAUUUGAAGGUGGUUUUCUGUUUCAUGGUAGAUGCCCUUGUAAUUAGUGAUCGUUGAAUAAAAAUACGUAUGAUAGAUAGUUGUGAAGUUAAUACUUCAUUUGAAGAAGUAUGAAAGGAUACAUAGAAAAAGCUGGGUACACACAAGUUAUGUCACAGUGAAUCAAACUAGGGUACACCAUUAUAUCCAAGGAAUAAAAAUACAUUUGAAAUAAUGGACUUCUUCCAAGAAACGUGCUCCUAAAAACGCACUGUUGUUUUCAGUCAAUAAAGUUAUGAUAAAGUUAUUGACAUAAAAUCAUUUGUGAAAGUUUAUGCAUUAAUGAAGGCAAUUAGCAGGAAUGACGUAGUCAAGAAGGCUAAUUUCAAACCCUUAUAAUGUAACAGGAAUAUGGAAAAAAGACUCGUCUAUUGUGAGUGCAAUUACAGAAUUUCAAAUUUCUAGCUUUACUGAAAUUUUAGAAAAACUCAAUUUUAGUCAUCAACUUUUAAGGGUGAUAUCUCGAAAGUGGUGGGCUGUGGAAAUUCUUCAUUACCAUAUAAAAUAGUUCAAGAGGUAUAAAUACGCAUAUUUACUACUACUAAAGUAUAAUUAUUGUGAUAACUACUAUAAGAAAUACUCUGUAAUAUUAUUAACACCAAAAAUAUAAAUAUUUACAAAAA